AACAAGCAGCAGCUGCUGGGGAGCAGGAGAUUAUUUAGGUGGGCUUCCAGGGGCAUCCUGUAACUGUAGGGUUGAGCUUGUGGGGGCUCUGCUUGGGGUUGUUUGCUGCCUUUGGAUGGGGCUCCUGUCCUGGCUCUCUCUGUCAGAUCUCACUUAGCUACCAGUCCACCCUUGGAUUAUGGGAACUGGUGAGGCCAAGCAUUGGGAAGACACCUUGUCCCUCCUCAGCUUUGCUUCACCACGUGGUGCCAGAUAGGAAGCCUGUUUAGCGAUGUCACUUGUUCCUGCCUUCCCUGGGUGAGGGUGCUCUGUGUGCAAAUGGACAAACACUUCCAUUUGCAAAGGUUCACCAUGUGUUGUAAGCAGAGAAGAGCCAAAGCUUUGGACACUGUCUAUGAAUCUGUGUUGCCACAGAAGUCACUUCUGUCUGCAUGUGCAGCAGUUACACUUCUAACUCAGCUGUCAGAUCUUUCAGAUAUUAUUAACCACUGUGGAAAGCAUAAUGUUCACAGCAGUAUACAUGAACUUUUAUGGGAUCAAAUCCAUUUGCAAUUCUGGAUCCAAAACCUCUCCUGAAAUUGGACUGCUGCCUCAAUAGAGUGGGCAAGAAUGUAGGCGUCCAGUGCUAAUUUUUGCCAAAAGUGGAAGAGAGAGUGAAAAAUCAUUAAUUCAAUUUCUCACUGUUUUGCCUCUGGUGAUUGCUGUCACUUCAGGUAAUAGCUUGUCUGUGGUUCUGACCCAAUUCUUAAACCAGUCUUUCCGUACUCCACCAAUUAAUCUAAUGGUUCAUUAAUUGCAAACAUCUGAAAUCAUUAGAACCUGAUUGAGCACAAAAGCAUCAAAUCCUGUGAAGCUGUGACUGCUUAGCCAGCAAAUGGUCUCAUUGCAAAGGAAUGUCAAUGUUUAUAGUAAAUGUAACCUAAACUAGGGUGUUCAUUGACAUAUCCCUCCAUUUGUAUACAACUGCUCUGACAUCUAUCAGUUCAAGAGUGCAUGAUUUAUCCACUGCUAUAUCCUGGAACUGACAAGCCAAAGAUUACAGCUUAACCUACAUGAAAGCAGAGGCUGUAUGUAUUCCUAAAAUAAAUAUUUAGUAACUGACA
rnacentral:lncRNA from 1 species